CAGUCUGCAACUCGAGUGCAUGAAGCUGGAAUCGCUAGUAAUCGCGGAUCAGCAUGCCGCGGUGAAUACGUUCCCGGGCCUUGUACACACCGCCCGUCACACCAUGAGAGUCGGGAACACCCGAAGUCCGUAGCCUGACCGCAAGGGGGCGCGGCCGAAGGUGGGUUCGAUAAUUGGGGUGAAGUCGUAACAAGGUAAC
rnacentral:rRNA from 1 species